CAGCCUGUGGCCAAUCGCAACGCCGGAAGGAGCUGAUAGACACGGAGGUUGCUCUGCUCGGAAGAGACCGAGCCCCAGGGCCGCCGUGCCCUCUGGGCGGUUGUGAGGCUGUGCAGCCUGCGGCUUCUGCCCUCUUUCUUUCCCUGACUGGUUGGGUCCGGCCUCCGAGGCCUGUACCCCGCCUUUUCCGCAUAGGCAUGUGACCAGGGUCUCCCGCGGAGUUUUGCUGAGAAUUUUGGAAAUGAAGCAUGUGGAGCGCCUAUGUCGGGGGAGAGAGGCCGAGCUGAAGGAGCACGGGCGCCGGCCUCGGCCUCUGGGGAGCCGGGCCCGCUCGCCUCCCUGCGCGGGGCUAGCCCGAGCCUGGAACUCGGGAGGCCCAGGAGCGAAGUGAAAGCCCCUUCUGGUCCCCCAGGGCUCCACUCCCGCAGCAGCCCGGCUCCGUCGGCGUCAGUGGAGCCCCAGGCCUGGGUCCGAGAUGAGCGAGACGCUGCUCUGGCUCGCGGUCGCCCGAGCGCUCCCAAAACCAGGGAACAGGCCCCAGGAGAGAAGCCCCUAGAAGUUUCCUGGAGCAGGGAGUCUCCUGUAUCCUGUUAGCUCUGCAAAGGAAUCUGGACUUUAUUCUGAGGGCCUUGGAGAACCCCUGCAAAGUUUUUUAAAAGGUGGACUAAGAGAUUGGCAUUUCACAACAUGACUCUCCGAAUUGAAACACUAAGAAGAUUGGCGAAAUUUAACAUUUACAGAUUAGUAAUUUAACCCAGGUGACUCGCGAUGAGGGACAUGGCUACCCUUCACUUUUGGAGGGAGUUUUAAGUGAUACAGAUCUUUUUGCCAAGCAAUUUUUUUUUUUUUUUUGAGACGGAGCGUCGUUCUGUCGCCCUGGCUGGAGUGGAAUGCCGUGAUCUCGGCUCACUGCAACCUCCGCCUUCCUGAGUUCAAGCGAUUCUCCUGCCUCAGCCUCCCUAGUAGCUGGGAUUACAGGCGCGCGCCACCAGGAUCUGCUAAUUUUUUUGUAUUUUUAGUAGAGACGGGGUUUCACCAUGUUGGCCAGGCUGGUCUCGAACUCCUGACCUCAGGUGAUCCACCUGCCUCGACCUCGCAAAGUGCUGAGAUUAACAGGCGUGAGCCACCGCGCCCAGCAGCAAUUUAAAAAUCUAAUAAAAUUGUGCAUAUCCCCCAAAACAAUAA
rnacentral:lncRNA from 1 species